rnacentral:rRNA from 1 species
GUGUCAGCAGCCGCGGUAAAACGUAGGUGGCAAGCGUUAUCCGGAUUCACUGGGCGUAAAGCGCACGCAGGCGGCGGCGUAGGUAGGGCAUGAAAGCUCCUGGCUUAACUGGGAGACGCUGUCCUAUACCGCGUCGCUUGAGGCUGGAAGAGGGAAGUGGAAUUGCCGGUGUAGUGGUGAAAUGCGUAGAGAUCGGCAGGAACACCAGUGGCGAAGGCGGCUUCCUGGUCCACGCCUGACGCUCAAAUGCGAAAGCUAGGGGAGCGAACGGGAUUAGAUACCCCCGUAGUCC